CAUUGUUGUCUCUAUAUUAAAAAUAUACGAUAUAGCAAAUUUGAGUUCAGCAAAAACAAUUGCGUACUGUUGGUUUUAAUAUUAGAAAUUAAUUGACCGAUUAUCAAACGUAAAGGGAAGAACUUUAUCUACAGUUUUGCACAUUAAUUUUUUUCAUCAUAUUAAUUUUUAAACAACUUAUGAGCGUGUGAAAGAUUACAACUUAAAACAGACUAUAACUUGAAACAUU